rnacentral:rRNA from 1 species
AACGAACGCUGGCGGCGCGCCUAAUACAUGCAAGUCGAGCGAGAAGACGUAGCAAUACGUUUGUAAAGCGGCGAACGGGUGAGGAAUACAUGGGUAACCUACCCUCGAGUGGGGAAUAACUAGCCGAAAGGUUAGCUAAUACCGCGUACGCUCCUUGGACUUCGGUUCAGGGAGGAAAGCGAUACCGUGGGUAUCGCGCUCUUGGAUGGGCUCAUGUCCUAUCAGCUUGUUGGUGAGGUAACGGCUCACCAAGGCUUCGACGGGUAGCUGGUCUGAGAGGACGAUCAGCCACACUGGCACUGCGACACGGGCCAGACUCCUACGGGAGGCAGCAGUAAGGAAUAUUGCGCAGUGGGCGAAAGCCUGACGCAGCGACGCCGCGUGGGGGAGUGAAGGUCUUCGGAUUGUAAACCCCUUUCGGGAGGGAAGAUGGAACGAGCAAUCGUUCGGACGGUACCUCCAGAAGCAGCCACGGCUAACUUCGUGCCAGCAGCCGCCGCAGU